rnacentral:rRNA from 1 species
AGAACGAACGCUGGCGGCGUGCUUAACACAUGCAAGUCGAACGCGAAAGGGACUUCGGUCCUGAGUAAAGUGGCGCGCGGGUGAGUAACGCGUAGAUAACCUGUCUUCAUGUCUGGAAUAAUACGCCGAAAGGGGUACUAAUACCGGAUAUCUUGCUUUUCAUAAGUUAUGCAAGCAAAGGUGGCCUCUGCAUAUGCUACUGCAUGAAGAGGGGUCUGCGUACCAUUAGCUAGUAGGUGGGGUAAUGGCCUACCUAGGCGACGAUGGUUAGCGGGUCUGAGAGGAUGAUCCGCCACACUGGCACUGGAACACGGGCCAGACUCCUACGGGAGGCAGCAGUGAGGAAUAUUGCGCAAUGGGGGAAACCCUGACGCAGCGACGCCGCGUGAAGUGAGGAAGGCCUUCGGGUCGUAAAGCUCUGUCAAGAGGAAAGAAGUGUACAAUGGCUAAUACCUGUUGUAUUUGACGGUACCUCUAAAGGAAGCACCGGCUAACUCCGUGCCAGCAGCGGC